rnacentral:rRNA from 1 species
UACGUAGGCAGCAAGCGUUGUUCGGAGUUACUGGGCGUAAAGGGUGUGUAGGCGGUUCUUUAAGUUUGGUGUGGAAUCUCCCGGCUUAACCGGGAGGGUGCGCCGAAUACUGAGGGACUAGAGUACGGGAGAGGAAAGUGGAAUUCCUGGUGUAGCGGUGAAAUGCGUAGAUAUCAGGAGGAACACCGGUGGUGUAGACGGCUUUCUGGACCGUAACUGACGCUGAGACACGAAAGCGUGGGUAGCAAACAGG